rnacentral:rRNA from 1 species
GACGAACGCUGGCGGCGUGCCUAAUACAUGCAAGUAGAACGCACAGUUUAUACCGUAGCUUGCUACACCAUAAACUGUGAGUUGCGAACGGGUGAGUAACGCGUAGGUAACCUGCCUGGUAGCGGGGGAUAACUAUUGGAAACGAUAGCUAAUACCGCAUAAUAUUGAUUAUUGCAUGAUAAUUGAUUGAAAGAUGCUAUUGCAUCACUACCAGAUGGACCUGCGUUGUAUUAGCUAGUAGGUGAGGUAACGGCUCACCUAGGCGACGAUACAUAGCCGACCUGAGAGGGUGAUCGGCCACACUGGGACUGGGACACGGCCCAGACUCCUACGGGAAGCAGCAGUAGGGAAUCUUCGGCAAUGGACGAAAGUCUGACCGAGCAACGCCGCGUGAGUGAAGAAGGGUUUCGGAUCGUAAAGCUCUGUUGUAAGGGGAGAACGGGUGUGAGAGUGGAAAGUUCACACUGUGACGGUAUCUUACCAGAAAGGGACGGCUAACUACGUG